rnacentral:rRNA from 1 species
CCUACGGGUGGCUGCAGUGGGGAAUUUUGGACAAUGGGGGCAACCCUGAUCCAGCCAUGCCGCGUGCGGGAAGAAGGCCUUCGGGUUGUAAACCGCUUUCGGCCGGAACGAAAUCGCCGGGGAGAACAUCCCCGGUGGAUGACGGUACCGGAAGAAGAAGCACCGGCUAACUACGUGCCAGCAGCCGCGGUAAUACGUAGGGUGCGUGCGUGAAUCAGAAUUAGCGGGGGCGGUGCGCUAGGAGGGAUGUGAAAUCCCCGGGCUUAACCUGGGAACUGCGUUUGUGACUGGCGGGCUGGAGUGCGGAAGAGGGAGGUGGAAUUCCACGUGUAGCAGUGAAAUGCGUAGAGAUGUGGAGGAACACCGAUGGCGAAGGCAGCCUCCUGGUCUAGCACUGACGCUCAUGCACGAAAGCGUGGGGAGCAAACAGGAUUAGAUACCCUUGUAGUC